rnacentral:rRNA from 1 species
UACGGAGGGUGCAAACGUUGCUCGGAAUCAUUGGGCGUAAAGCGUACGUAGGCGGUCCUUUAAGUCGGGUGUGAAAGCCCAAGGCUCAACCUUGGAAGUGCAUUCGAAACUGAAGGGCUUGAGUACGGAAGAGGGUCUCGGAAUUCCCGGUGUAGAGGUGAAAUUCGUAGAUAUCGGGAGGAACACCAGUGGCGAAGGCGGAGACCUGGGCCGAUACUGACGCUGAGGUACGAAAGCGUGGGGAGCAAACAGG